rnacentral:rRNA from 2 species
GUGGCGCGUGACUAUAAUGCAAGUCGAGCGGACAGAAGGGAGCUUGCUCCCGGAUGUUAGCGGCGGACGGGUGAGUAACACGUGGGUAACCUGCCUGUAAGACUGGGAUAACUCCGGGAAACCGGAGCUAAUACCGGAUAGUUCCUUGAACCGCAUGGUUCAAGGAUGAAAGACGGUUUCGGCUGUCACUUACAGAUGGACCCGCGGCGCAUUAGCUAGUUGGUGGGGUAAUGGCUCACCAAGGCGACGAUGCGUAGCCGACCUGAGAGGGUGAUCGGCCACACUGGGACUGAGACACGGCCCAGACUCCUACGGGAGGCAGCAGUAGGGAAUCUUCCGCAAUGGACGAAAGUCUGACGGAGCAACGCCGCGUGAGUGAUGAAGGUUUUCGGAUCGUAAAGCUCUGUUGUUAGGGAAGAACAAGUGCGAGAGUAACUGCUCGCACCUUGACGGUACCUAACCAGAAAGCCACGGCUAACUACGUGCCAGCAGCCGCGGUAAUACGUAGGUGGCAAGCGUUGUCCGGAAUUAUUGGGCGUAAAGGGCUCGCAGGCGGUUUCUUAAGUCUGAUGUGAAAGCCCCCGGCUCAACCGGGGAGGGUCAUUGGAAACUGGGAAACUUGAGUGCAGAAGAGGAGAGUGGAAUUCCACGUGUAGCGGUGAAAUGCGUAGAGAUGUGGAGGAACACCAGUGGCGAAGGCGACUCUCUGGUCUGUAACUGACGCUGAGGAGCGAAAGCGUGGGGAGCGAACAGGAUUAGAUACCCUGGUAGUCCACGCCGUAAACGAUGAGUGCUAAGUGUUAGGGGGUUUCCGCCCCUUAGUGCUGCAGCUAACGCAUUAAGCACUCCGCCUGGGGAGUACGGUCGCAAGACUGAAACUCAAAGGAAUUGACGGGGGCCCGCACAAGCGGUGGAGCAUGUGGUUUAAUUCGAAGCAACGCGAAGAACCUUACCAGGUCUUGACAUCCUCUGACAACCCUAGAGAUAGGGCUUUCCCUUCGGGGACAGAGUGACAGGUGGUGCAUGGUUGUCGUCAGCUCGUGUCGUGAGAUGUUGGGUUAAGUCCCGCAACGAGCGCAACCCUUGAUCUUAGUUGCCAGCAUUCAGUUGGGCACUCUAAGGUGACUGCCGGUGACAAACCGGAGGAAGGUGGGGAUGACGUCAAAUCAUCAUGCCCCUUAUGACCUGGGCUACACACGUGCUACAAUGGACAGAACAAAGGGCUGCAAGACCGCAAGGUUUAGCCAAUCCCAUAAAUCUGUUCUCAGUUCGGAUCGCAGUCUGCAACUCGACUGCGUGAAGCUGGAAUCGCUAGUAAUCGCGGAUCAGCAUGCCGCG